CCAAAAACUCCAAAAUGUUCAACCAAUUUAUUCGAGUAUAAAGCUUUUCGACUUUGUUUCUUCACAGUAUUCUUUCUAUUCGAAUCCCUUUAAGCCUCUGAACUGCCGCUGAUUCUUCUCGCCGUCUUCCAUUUGGGGUUUUGAAUCGAAGAUCCAUUUAUCAGGAUGCGAUCAGAAUACGAUCGAUUCUCUCGCCGUUCAAGAACACAACAACAAACAGAAUGUUCUUCUGGAAUUUGAGCGAGUGUUCAGCAGGUAGUUGCCGGUAUGUUGUAUCAUCUUAUACUGGAAGCCACCGAUGGUGGUAAGAAGAAGGUUUAUGAAGCCAAAGUCUGGGAGAAGCUUUGGAUGAACUUCAAAGAGUUGCAGGAAUCCAAAGCAUGCCCAUGAUGGAUCUCGAGUCUCAGAUAAAUGAAGAUAAAGAGAAGAAGAAAAUGGUAGUCAUUAUGUCGUCUCAAAAGCUGAACACAGAUUAAGGGUGCGAGACUAGUUGAUCCUCUCUUCAGUCUGCCCUUCUUUUUGGUUCUGAUUGUUCAUCUACUUGGUGGAAUUAUUGAUUGGGAGAUGGGUGGUGGUGUCAUCUAAGGUUUUUAAGGUUUGAAGGGCCCUAUCCGCUACAAAAAGAAGUUUGAAGAAGGAAGGGAGAGGAGAGUUGGUCCCAAGUUAAAGAUUUUAAGAAUGCUCUUCUGGAAUUUGAGCGGGUGUGAAGGCUAAAACAGCAGGUAGUUUCCGGUAUGUCGUAUCAUCUUACACUGGAAGCCAUCGAUGGUGGUAAGAAGAAGGUUUAUGAAGCCAAGGUCUGGGUGCAGCCAAUGAACUUCCAAGAGUUGCAGGAAUUCAACGCAUGCCCAUGAUGGAUCUCCAGGUAACUGAAGACCAUGCAUGUUCUCCCAUAUGGAUUGCUGCUGAAGGUAACAACAGAAUACACAAUUAGUUGAAUAUUGUAGGAGUGGAAGAUGAGUUGCAUGUCUUGAGCCAUGCUUAUGCUGCCAUGAAUUGUAAAAGUUAAUGUUGUUGUGAUCGUUGAAAUUUUGACACAAACAAUGACCUCGUUUUUAUCGAAAUAUCGUGUAGCUUGUUGGCCUA